rnacentral:rRNA from 1 species
UACGUAGGUGACAAGCGUUGUCCGGAUUUACUGGGCGUAAAGAGCGCGCAGGCGGUCGAUCAAGUCGAGUGUGAAAGCCCCCGGCUCAACUGGGGAGGGUCAUUCGAUACUGAUCGACUCGAAGGCAGGAGAGGGUAGUGGAAUUCCCGGUGUAGCGGUGAAAUGUGUAGAGAUCGGGAGGAACACCGGUGGCGAAGGCGGCCUUCUGGACGGUGACUGACGCUGAGGCGCGAAAGCGUGGGGAGCAAACGGG